UUGAAGCCCAUUGAGACACACUAGAGACAGAAAUCAGCAAAGGAAUAUGGUUUAUCUUUUCUAAUGCUUUAAAUAUUUAAAGAUAAUCAAAAGCUGCUUUACAAAAAAGAUUUGGUUUUGCCAUCAAUGGCAAGGGUUGC